UCUUUCUCCUCCGCCUCUCGCCCUCUCAUUUUCCUCUGUAAGAACAUGAAACCCUACUUCUGCAAUGGUGAACUAAACUCAAACCCUGUCUUCCUUUUCUGUCAUCAUAGAUCAUAUCCCCAUCAUGAACUCUUUUCUUUCAUCACCAUCAACAGUUCUUUUAGUUGUCAUACUCAAAAUCAAUAAAACCCUUAAAAACCUAGAAUCAAAAUCUGGUUUGUUUCUCAUAUAUUAAGUACAAAAUCAACUCGAACCUCACUGUCACUUCACAGAACGAAACCUCACUGUCAGCAAUCCAUGCUUUAUCCUUAACCCUUAUCUUAAAAUCGAAACCCAUGUAUCAGCGGAAUUUAAAAUGAAACUCUGUAAACCUAGGUCUAGUUUUUUUGCUCCUGAAAUUAUCAGGUAAGGUGUUUCCUUUUCUACUUUUCCCUUACAAAAUUCAUCAAGUUGGUUGAAGAUCUCUUCUACUAAUGUUGAGGAAAACAUCUUUAACUUCUCAAAGAAGGGUUUAAUCUCAUCAUAGAUUGGUAUUGGUUUCAUGAUUCUCAUGGCUAUGAAGUCUUAUAUUUGGCUACAAACUUCUGAUGGUUCCAUCCAGCAAGUAGAUAAAGAGGUGGUUACAUUCAUCCCAAUGAUUUGUAGAGAGGUGCUAAAAAAUAGCAUGGGAUCAACUAAGAACUGCGCUAACAUCUCAAAGCAUGCCAUAUAUAUCCUGGUCACAUACCUUUAUUUGCCUUAAAAGUCAUGCCGUCUGACUCAUUAAUUUUAGAGGGAGUUACCAUUUUAAGGGCCACCGGAUAUGUUGAAUUCUUCUUGAUAUUUCUUUAUGUUUCAGUGUGGCGCAACAUCUCCCAGGUUUGGAGCUUAUCGAAAGGGAAGUUGCUGAGAACAAUAGACUUCCCUUCAAUAAUUAAUGCAGUCACACUAGACCCUUGUGAAGACUUGUUGCUUUACGUAUGGACACAGCCACAUACGGCAAUACUCCAAAAAUACGGCAGGAUCUAUUUGUUGUAACGAUCACCUACUUUCAAGGGAGGUAAAACUUGGUAAAACGUGUAUGUUAGCCCAUAUUACAGCUGUGUGGUUGUCAUCGUCGGCACAUAUUAGCAAUCGAUGGUUCCAAAGAUAAUAAAUAUCUUUGACUGAGAUGAAAUCUGAAAAACCAGAUCUAUUUGUUGUGUUCCAUAAAAAAUCAAUCUCUAUUCUUCUUCUUCUUCUUCUUCUUCUUCUUCUUCUUCUUCUUCUUCUUCUUCUUCUUCUUCACCAUAUUCCAUCACUCAUGAAUCUGUACUAGCACCGGUAAACAAGCUAAGCUACUUAGUCUUUUGUUGUUGUAGUAAUGUCAGGAUCUAUUAGUAAUAUUUUGUGCUAAAUUGUCUACUGACUGUACAUGGCCAGUUCAGGUUUUUUUGUAUGACUUUUUUGUAAGUACCACUGCCACUGGUAUACAUGAUCACUUCAUGCUUUUUUUAUAAGCUUUUUGCAAGUAUAAGAUCAAAACUGAAAAUCUAAUUGAACUUUUGUUAUAUAUUUUGAAUCGACAUUGAAAUUAUGUCCUGUUUAUAUGUUUACAUAUCUUUAAAAAUUAACGAUAUUUAUGCCUACCGGUGUGGCGCCGUAUCAUGGUUUUUUAAAUUUGCCGUAUUGGACACACGGAAACACGGGUGUGGCGGACACCCGUGGCGGUAUUGGUGCAACCCAGGCGAGAACACCUUUGCUAGCAAGUAUGGGAUGCAUAUAGUUGGAGCAUUAUCUGGUACCAGUAAGAGUGUCAAUUGCUUAUCUUUUAGCAAAAGAGAGUCCUAUUAGUGUUUUGGUGGGAGGAUGGCACAGUUCGGAUUUGGGACACAAAAAGCAAACAAAUUAACCAUAAAUUCAAAAACAAAGGCUAUGAAUAUUGCAGGUAUCUUAUUCAUCGGGGUUCCUUGACAUGUUCAAGUAUGCCAUUUCAACCAAGAUGGAAGUGCUGAAUUUGAGUCUAGGAGGCCCUAAUUACUCAGCUCUUCUUUUUGUUAAAGGAUUCAUAGAGAAAAUAAUAUCUCAAGAACAUGGAGCUUAUAAUCUUGUUGAGCUUUUAUGUAAAGAUGGACAUAGGAGAUAUCCCUAACAUUGUAGCUGCAGUUGUUCUUCCAAAUGAAGUCAAAUAAUUCUUUCGUUUUUCUUUUUUGUUUUCACUGAAUUGUAUUGUAGAUUGUAAUUAUGUUUUAGGUAUAAACUUAACUGUAUUGGAGGCCUGUAAACUGAGUACAGAUCCAUGAUGAUGAACAAGCCUGUAAACUGGGAGCCCAGGUCCACAAUAAUGACCUGGACUACCCAUUUUUUUUAAUCGUAAUUUAAAGUAUUGCAAUGGGUAUAACUGUAAAACAAAUGUAAGUAAAGCAACACGUGUCGUUAUCUCAGAGUUGUUGCAAAUAAGAGUAACAAUUUAACUGUUACAGUAGUCGUAACUUAA